GCCCGGGUGGCGAAAUGGUAGACGCAGGGGACUUAAAAUCCCUUGGUAGCAAUACCGUGUGGGUUCGAGUCCCACCCCGGGCA
rnacentral:tRNA from 1 species